CAUGUUCGUGGAGCUUUAUAUCAUUUGACACGCGAGUAAAAUAAAUUAUCUAAAAAUGAAUAAAUAAAUGGGAGCAUUGUCACUUGUCAUUAUUUCUUUGGAUAUAUCUACCUCGAGACGAUGUCGAAAUUAGCUGGAUUAUUACUGUGUAAUUUUUGUGUUCUAUUUUUCUUCAUUACUACUGUCAGUGGUGCAAUACCAAAGUGCAGAUUGGUGUGCCCGACCUUACCUCCAGAUACAUUCGGCACUUGUGAUGAACGAUGCGGGUCAGGCUGUGGUUAUGGUAGUCUAUGUUGUUCUAACGGGUGUGGUCAUCUUUGCAAAAAAGGCAUUAGGAAAUGCAAUUAAACCUCCUUAAAACGAUAUCAUUUAUAUGGUCAUUAAUCAUGUUGAUACAAACAAAGGAUGGACAAAAUGAAUGUUACAGAAUAAUUAAAUUUCAAGUUUACUUAAAAUGUUCUUCAAUAAAGAUAUUUGCUAAA